UACUAUGGUAAAUACUUGAGUGUACAA
rnacentral:sRNA from 1 species